AAUCAACGCUGGCGGCGUGCCUCAGACAUGCAAGUCGAACGCGAAAGGCUCCUUCGGGGGCCGAGUAGAGUGGCGCACGGGUGAGUAACACGUAGGUAAUUUGCCUUUGGGUGGGGAAUAACUCAGGGAAACUUGAGCUAAUACCGCAUAAUGCAGCGGCUCGACAUCGAGACAGUUGUUAAAGACGGGGGAGUCGCAAGACCUCGCGCCUGAAGAGAAGCCUGCGGCAGAUUAG
rnacentral:rRNA from 1 species